ACAUAUGCUAAGAGCUUGGUGUCUGCCCCAUGAUGCUAUGGGAAGAUGCUGGAGCUUUUAGGAGGCAGGGCCUAGCAGAAGGAAGUGAUGUCAGAGGAGGUGUGUCCUGGGAGGACUGUGGAGAUUCUGGGCCUACGUUAUUUUUUUUCUCUCUCUCACUUUGCUUUUCUGCUGCUAGAGAUGGGCCUCUUCUCUGCCACACACCCGUUGCUGUGCGCCAACAUGGGCCCCUGUGGCUAGGUGACCUCGGACCAGGACGGCAGACAAGGUAUUUAUCACAGCGAUAGCGACUGACAUACUCCACUUCCUCUGUGUCGUCAUUGUCAUCAGUACUGGUAUGGCCAUUGAAUGGUGAGCACCUUGAUUUCAACUUAACUCUGAUGUAAGUACGAUCGCCAGACAUCCACACAUGACUGUGCUGGGGAAAUAUUGACAGAGAACUCAUCUUGUUGAGCAGGGUCAGGGAAGUUAUCUGAGAGAGAAAAGAGCAUGCUCAGAUGAAGAAUGGCUUUUAAAUGGCAAAAGGUGAGACGGACUAAAAAAUGUGUUUCUUCCUCCUUCAAUACUCCCUGGUAGGUCCUAAAUUCCUAUCUGUCCCUAAACUUCAUGGCUUUAUUUGUUAAUAACUGCUGCCCACUUUUUUUUUCUGAAUGCUUUUGGCCUAAAACUCAAGCCUAUAUUUUUUAAAAAUGUGUACGUAUUAUGGUAUAUAUGUGUGUGUUGGGAAUGGGAACCCAUGCACACAACGACAAGAGAGAAUAUCCAAUGUCUUGUUAUAUGACUUUCUUCCUUAUUCCAUUGAGACAGAGCCUCUUACUGAACCCGGAGCUCUCCAUGUUUUUCAGCUAGGCUAGUUAGAAGUGAAGUCACAGCAAUCCUCCUGUGUCUGCCUCUCUAGAGCUAGUGUUACAGGCAUGUGCGACAUGAGAUUUUAUGUGACUGCCAAGGACUAAACGGUACCCAGGCUUGUACAGCAGGCACUCUUAGCUACUGAGCCAUCUCUUCGGUUCCUUAUUUUUAAUAAUAUGUACCAGCCUUUCUCUGCCUUCUCUCUCUUCCUUGACACCCCUUUGUCACUCCCCAGACCUGCUGUGGACUUCGGGAAUGUGUGUUCUCCAUCAUAGGUGCACGGAGUUGGGUACGGCCGUGAGGUGACUUUAACUGGUCCCAGAAGCUCUAGAGUACAGAUGGUCUGAGGUGCUGCUUGCUCUCCAGGAUUUGCACUCUUUAGCCGUUCAGUCUUCUAAUAGUGCUUAACCCUUCAGUCCCAAGCUCCAUGCUCGCCAGCAUCGUGAGUUCCCCAAGAUAACUUCUUACCAUAGACUCUACCGGUCAGUACCCGUGGGUGCUUUUGUAUGGUCUUGAGAAAACACCUACCUGUGUGGGAAGCAGAGAGUCCCUCGAUUUCUAAGAAUGCUAUCUUAUCCAACCCACUCACAUACACACAUUAAUCUGAACCACCCAUCCAUCACUGAAGGAAUCUAGAAAUAAUGGCGUAGUUGAAAUUAUACGUCAAACCCAGAUAAAUGAUUAAGAAAACACAUAUUUUAAAGAACUCAACUGUUCAUAAGAAGUAAAAGAGGGUAAAUCUAGAACCUAGUAUAAUGAAUUAGCUCAGAACCUUGCAGGCAAGUUUGUCUUCCUGGCCUUCUUGGCUUCCCUCACGUCUCUCGUGUCCCGUCCACCUCCUCCCCAGAAAAUGUGUACUCCAGACAUUGCAACUACAAACUGGAACACCUUCCAUUCUGGAAACCAAGAAAAGGCUUCGGAAUGUGCACUGGUCGAAGGUGGUUCCAUUGUUCUUGUAACCCCUGAAAUUGUGGUGCCUCUGUUUCUGCUGAGCCAUUGCUUUCACAGGAUUUUCUAAGGACCCCCCAAAGAUUUAAGAAUCCUUCCUAAAAGCUACUUGUUCUCCAACCUUACCAUAGUGGAGACAGAGAGGAGUUGUGGAAGUUACUGUGUUGUAGGAUGAUAGACUAGCUUUAUUCUUUAUAAGAUCAGCUUAAACAUUUGACAGGUUAUGAGCUGGGGAGAUGAGUUAUUUGGUGGAAUACUUGCCAUGCAAGCAUGAGGACCUGAAUUUGGAUCCUCAACACCUUGUAAAAAAAAAAAAAACGGGUGGAGUAGUGUGCAUCUGUAACCUCAGCAUUUGGGGGGAGGAGGCAAGCAGAUCUUUGAACUCAGUGGCCGGCUAGCCAAGGCCAGUAAAUGAGAUCCACGUUUAGCGAGAGACCCCAACUCAAAACAUAAAAAGAUGGGUGCGCUGGUGGAAAGGUGUUCUCAGGCGAACUGCUUUUGCUGCCCAAGGCUCAUGAUCUGAGUUCUAGCUCCAGGACUGUCAGUGACAUGAGGACAAAAUUCUGAAAGUUGCCUCUGACCUAUACAUGAUCACCAUGGCAUAAGAGUGCCUGUGCAUAUAUGCAUACACUGUUUGUUUGUUUUCGAGACAGGGUUUCUCCGUAUUGUUUUGGAGGCUGUCCUGGAACUCGCCCUGUAGACCAGGCUGGCCUCGAACUCACAGAGAUCCACCUGCCUCUGCCUCCCAGGGAUUAAAGGUGUGCGUACACUAUUAAAGAAAAGAAAAAUAAGGUAGAUAGUUAUCUAGGAAAACACCUAAGCGUGGCUUCUGGGUAUCACAGGAUUGUGCCCACAUAUGCAUGCAGGCAUGCACACACACACACACACACACGACAGCAUAUUAAAUUUAGGAGUUACAUUUUAUCUAAGUAGAUUGAUGCGUCUAUUAGGGUUUUCACACAUGCACACACACACACACACACACACACACACACACCUACACCUGUGCAAUAGAAGUGACACCUGAUGAAGAAUGACUGUACCCUUUAAAGCAGAGUGGCACCGUGAGUCGCUUGUUGUACACGCCAUCAUAAAGAUGGGAAAACUAAAGGUGAAAAGUAUCCAGUGUUUUGACAAAUUAUGGAGGUCUGACUCAAACCCAGGUAUCUAGCUUUCAAUAUAGAAAUCAUAUUCCUUUAACUUUGAUGUCAGAGUUCCUUGUUAAGUGUGACAUAAUAGAGCACAGCGAUGCUAAACUAAAACUAACACUAAUGAGAAUGAACACUAUUCUAGAUGAGUGAUUUGAUGCUACUUUGAUGAGUUAAGGAAAAUUAUAUGUUCUAUCUUAGCAUAUAUUGCCUAGUAAUAAACUGACAAAAGAAAUUGUAGCAUUUCUCCAUCUAAUACCAUUUCAGAAGGAGCAACUCAUCUUAUCAUUGCUGUUUCUAGAAUUAUGGAAAUAAAAUGUAAGUCAUGAUGCUAUUUAUCUUGGGACUGUUGACAGCAUAUUAUAGGGGGUAUUGUGAUAUUCCUGGUAGAACAGAAAGAAUGUAGAUGUCAGCAUAGCCCACCAGACACACUCUGUGGCACCCUACGCACAGUAUCUGCUUGUAACACACCCAUUUUAUGUACCUUUAUCUACUACAACUAAUGAUGGAAUUAAUAGUAUUGAAUGUUGGCAUCAUGCUACAUAAUCAUGCUAUGUAAGUCUGUAAAUUGUAAAUAUUGAGACUUAAAGUAUGUGUGAUUAAUUAGGAUACUGUUUUAUUACUAAGUUCAUCAUUGUAGUGCAAUCAGUACAUCACUGAAUGGCUAAUAUUUGAUGGGAAAAAUCUCAUGCAGGGCAAUAGAGCAAAGGAAUUCGUCCCCGCAUCAAAGAUAGGAAAGAUCUAUGCCAUGCAUAGUGAUUUUCAAGGCUUAGUAAUGUAACGAUGAAUUGACUAUUCUGCAGCUCAUGGUUCUGCUUUUGGGAAUCAAUGCCAGCCACUCUGCCCAGUGUAGACUGGUGUGAUCUGGAUUCACACUUCCUUUGUCACUGCUUAGAUCACAGGUGGCCUUAGCAUAGUAGACACAUUGUUCUCUCCCAUCGAGGGCCCUGGCACAGUGGCUGUCAGGGGAAAUACACAGAGUAUGGUAAUCCUCCUGUUUCUGAGGCCCUUGAGAGAGAUGCUGAUGCACCACGUCGUGAAGCAGCAGCAGCAGCAACACGGAUCUCUCUGUGAGAACCCGGCAUGGACGUUUGAUGCCGGCGCCGGCAGUUCAGACAGCACAGUAGAGUAUUUGUUGAGUGGAAGAGCACUUGCCUGAGUCUUGACAACACAGGGUGUGAAAAGAGUAGCAUGGCAGGAACUGACCUGGUGGCCAGUGAAAAUGGAACGCGAGCUCUUGGAUCUACUCCUGGCUUCAGCUCCGGCUUUGUCCGCCACAGCCUGCCUGACAAGUCAGGCAGUAUAGUAUGUCCAGCCUUACACCCAUUGUCUGCGGCAUGCAUCUCCUCAAAGUUGGCUUCUAUGCUCAGCUCCCUACCUCUGCAGCUGUGGCAAUACUGUCCCACAGCUCACGCCACAGGGACGCCUCUUCCUGCGCUUCCUGCUUGCUCAUGCCCUUGUUUGGCUGAGGGUCUGCUCCGAUGUUAGCACUCUUCUGUGAACUGAGAAUACGACAGUGAGACCCAGACAAAGUUCCCGCUGAGUUUUCCAUGCCUGUAUUCUCUCGGGGAGAGAGAAACUGGGGAGAGCGAUCCCCAAAUAACUGCUAUGGGAAAAAAGUCAACCAGGGAAGAAGUGAACAGUAUGGAUGACCACCAUCCUAUGACCCCACGGUGGCUACAUUUUUUGCGCGUGAAAGUAUUGUUAUAAGUGGAGUUUGAGGCAGAGUCACAUUGAGGAACACAUUGAUGUGAUGUUGUUAUACCCAUCAGCCAUGGAACUAUUUUAGAAAGAGACUGUUUUUCUCAAGCUCAUAAAAUGAUAAUUUCCAAACAAGCCGCUAGAUGUAAGACUCCACCCUUCAGUGCGAUUUGCCCAUGCCUCUGGCUCUGGGGAAGGGACCCAAAGAAGGAGGCUGCAAAGCUCGAGGCUGCCAUACCUCUGAACUAGACCUAGGUAUCUCUUCACUUUGAAUUACUCUAAUAAUAUUGGGCUGUUGCGGGUUAUAAACUUCUUUAGUAUUGUUACUGACUGUGUUACAUCUUUCUUAGGUAUUCCAAGCUGUUUUUGAUUUCCCUUUUGACUGUAGAUGGGAAUUUUUUGUUU